rnacentral:rRNA from 1 species
AACGAACGCUGGCGGCGUGCCUAACACAUGCAAGUCGAGCGGGAAAGUUCCCUUCGGGGAGCAAGUACAGCGGCGAACGGGUGAGUAACACGUAGGUAACCUACCCUGGAGACUGGAAUAACCUGCCGAAAGGCGGGCUAAUACCGGAUAAGACCACGAGGGUUGCGGCCCUUGGGGUAAAAGAUGGCCUCUGCUUGCACGCUAUCACUCUGGGAUGGGCCUGCGCGCCAUUAGCUAGUUGGUGAGGUAACGGCUCACCAAGGCAGAGAUGGCUAGCUGGUCUGAGAGGAUGGCCAGCCACACUGGGACUGAGACACGGCCCAGACUCCUACGGGAGGCAGCAGUGGGGAAUAUUGCGCAAUGGGCGAAAGCCUGACGCAGCGACGCCGCGUGGGUGAUGAAGGCCUUCGGGUCGUAAAGCCCUGUCAAGAGGGACGAAACCUCGUCGACCUAACACGUCGGCGACCUGACGGUACCUCUGAAGGAAGCACCGGCUAACUCCGUGCCAGCAGCCGCAGUAACAC